GUGGGGAAUUUUGGACAAUGGGCGCAAGCCUGAUCCAGCCAUGCCGCGUGAGUGAUGAAGGCCCUAGGGUUGUAAAGCUCUUUCACCGGUGAAGAUAAUGACGGUAACCGGAGAAGAAGCCCCGGCUAACUUCGUGCCAGCAGCCGCGGUAAUACGAAGGGGGCUAGCGUUGUUCGGAAUUACUGGGCGUAAAGCGCACGUAGGCGGGUAUUUAAGUCAGGGGUGAAAUCCCGGAGCUCAACUCCGGAACUGCCUUUGAUACUGGGUACCUAGAGUAUGGAAGAGGUAAGUGGAAUUCCGAGUGUAGAGGUGAAAUUCGUAGAUAUUCGGAGGAACACCAGUGGCGAAGGCGGCUUACUGGUCCAUUACUGACGCUGAGGUGCGAAAGCGUGGGGAGCAAACAGGAUUAGAUACCCCAGUAGUCC
rnacentral:rRNA from 1 species